UCAAGAGUACGUGAACCCGUUCAGGGGUACACCUGAGAAACCCAAAAGAUAAAAUGGGGAGAUUCAGCGCCAACGAUGUCGGCUUCCGUGUCGCUAGCGAUGUCUUUGAGCUCGGUCGCUUGAUACGCUGCGCUGCGGUAUGACGGGUGUUGUCGGCGUGCAUUUCUCCCAUAGUAGGACGUCGCGACCCGCUGUGGGGUCGCCCAAGGCCCCGAACGGUAGACUGUCGCGCUCCUGGCGCGGCAGACCGAUAUCGGCCCGGCCGACUGCUCGGCGGUAUCGAACGAAACAUGGUAUUGGGUCGCAAGAAUGCGUUAGACUCGUUGGCAGGCUCGCCUCGCUUGGAUAACGGACCUCGAGCCGUUCCCGGGCGCUUGGUGUGCCCUUGGCCGACGAAGAUCUCGAACGGGCUCUAAAAGGUUCGCGCUGAAUACCUGUCGGCGACGCUUUUGCUUUGGGUACUUUCAGGACCCGUCUUGAAACACGGACCAAGGAGUCUAACAUGUACGCGAGUCAUUGGGAAAACAAGCCUAAAGGCGCAAUGAAAGUGAAGAUGCGCGGCGGUCAAGGGAGGA
rnacentral:rRNA from 1 species